GACGAACGCUGGCGGCGUGCUUAACACAUGCAAGUCGAACGAAAAGGCCCUGCUUUUGUGGGGUGCUCGAGUGGCGAACGGGUGAGUAACACGUGAGUAACCUGCCCUUGACUUUGGGAUAACUUCAGGAAACUGGGGCUAAUACCGGAUAGGAGCUCCUGCUGCAUGGUGGGGGUUGGAAAGUUUCGGCGGUUGGGGAUGGACUCGCGGCUUAUCAGCUUGUUGGUGGGGUAGUGGCUUACCAAGGCUUUGACGGGUAGCCGACCUGAGAGGGUGACCGGCCACAUUGGGACUGAGAUACGGCCCAGACUCCUACGGGAGGCAGCAGUGGGGAAUAUUGCACAAUGGGCGGAAGCCUGAUGCAGCAACGCCGCGUGCGGGAUGACGGCCUUCGGGUUGUAAACCGCUUUCGCCUGUGACGAAGCGUGAGUGACGGUAAUGGGUAAAGAAGCACCGGCUAACUACGUG
rnacentral:rRNA from 1 species